rnacentral:rRNA from 1 species
CAGUAGCCGCGGGAAAACGGAGGGUGCAAGCGUUAAUCGGAAUUACUGGGCGUAAAGCGCACGCAGGCGGUCUGUCAAGUCAGAUGUGAAAUCCCCGGGCUUAACCUGGGAACUGCAUUUGAAACUGGCAGGCUAGAGUCUUGUAGAGGGGGGUAGAAUUCCAGGUGUAGCGGUGAAAUGCGUAGAAAUCUGGAGGAAUACCGGUGGCGAAGGCGGCCCCCUGGACAAAGACUGACGCUCAGGUGCGAAAGCGUGGGGAGCAAACAGGAUUAGAUACCCCUGUAGUCCCUGUCUCUUAUAA